rnacentral:rRNA from 1 species
GACGAACGCUGGCGGCGUGCUUAACACAUGCAAGUCGAACGGAAAGGCCCUGCUUUUGUGGGAUGCUCGAGUGGCGCAAGGGUGAGUAUCACGUGAGUAGCCUGCCCUUGACUUUGGGGUAACUUCAGGAAACUGGGGCUCAUACAGGAUAGGAGCUCCUUCUGCAUGGUGGGGGUUGGUAAAAUUCGCCGUUUGGGGAUGGACGCGCGGCUUAUCAGCAUGUUGGUGGGGUAGUGGAGUACCAAGGCAUUGACGGGUAGCCGGCCUGAGAGGGUGACCGGCCACAUUGGGACUGAGAUACGGCCCAGACGCCUUCGGGAGGCAGCAGUGGGGAAUAGUGCACGAUGGGCGGAAGCCUGAUGCAGCAACGCCGCGUGCGGGAUGACGGCCUUCGGGUUGUAAACCUCUUUCGCCUGUGACGAAGCGUGAGUGACGGUAAUGGGUAAAGAAGCACCGGCUAACUACGUG